UACGUAGGUGGCAAGCGUUGUCCGGAUUUAUUGGGCGUAAAGCGAGCGCAGGCGGUUUUCUAAGUCUAAUGUGAAAGCCUUCGGCUUAACCGAAGAAGUGCAUCAGAUACUGGAAAACUUGAGUACAGAAAAGGAAAGUGGAACUCCAUGUGUAGCGGUGAAAUGCGUAGAUAUAUGGAAGAACACCAGUGGCGAAGGCGGCUUUCUGGUCUGUUACUGACGCUGAGGCUCGAAAGUAUGGGGAGCAAAC
rnacentral:rRNA from 1 species